AAAAAAGACCAAAAAGCACCUGACAGGGUGUCUCUAGUCCCCAUCCACUUCACUGAAUGGAAAAGAGCAGCUUGGCCAUUCAACUAAAUAUCUCCUUUUGUGUUUCACAGAAGAAAGAAAAUCAGAUGGACUCAGAAUGACAUUAGCAGGAAUUCCUGUGUGUCCAGCUGAAGGAGAGGUGUCAAACAUCCUUGACCUGAGUGUAGGAGUGUAGGGGGGAGUGUGAUGAUGGCCCGCUCAGGCUUGAGUGAAGGCCUUGUUAAACGGGCCGGCGUCAAGGGUAGCACACCCGCCACUGGAGGAUGGACGCCGCGUCAAUCCCACACCAUUCUGCAGAUCUCUCAGGGCAAUCAGCGAUACCUGAUGCAAAGCAAUCAGAAACAAAAUGAAACCCUGUUUGCGUGUAUUUUUUCAUCAAUUUAAAUCAGCAGAUUCAUUUUCCCUUCCUAUUUGCUGAACAUGCAUGAUUGAAAGGCAGCGGUUUUCUCCUCUCACCACGUGAGGUUAAACAGAUUUUGAGAUAGUUGUCUGCUAGACUGGCUUUCUGGGUAUGUUUGUAUUUGAUUAGCCAGAUCCAGAGCACUGCAUGUAGCUGCUGCAGUUGCUGAAGUAUCUAAGACGGCCUUAACCUCUUUCCUCACCCUUUCUCUAUUAUGCAAAUUUGUCCGGGCUCUAUGGAUACGGAGUCUGAUCAGGGAGUUAUUUUCUCUGGCCCUCUCUAGUGUUUUCAUUGAAACAAAUAGCCACUGCUGGCGUAAUGGAAAACCGGUGGUUGCAUAAUGCUGUUAAGAGAUGCAUUGCUAACAAUAUCAUAUGUCAAGGUUUGUGAGGGUGUUUUUUUCUGUUUUAUUGUCUGAAGAUGUUAUAAGAUAUUGUUUAAAAUGCUUAACCUUCUGUCAUUGUCUUGGAAAUGGUUUCCU